UACGGAAGAUCCAAGCGUUAUCCGGAAUUACUGGGCGUAAAGAGUUGCGUAGGUGGCAUAGUAAGCAGACAGUGAAAGAUCACGGCUCAACCGUGGGUGCAUUGUCUGAACUGCUAAGCUUGAGCAUGAGAGAGGUAGCUGGAAUUCCUAGUGUAGGAGUGAAAUCCGUAGAUAUUAGGAGGAACACCGAUGGCGUAGGCAGGCUACUGGCUCAUUGCUGACACUAAGGCACGAAAGCGUGGGGAGCGAACGGG
rnacentral:rRNA from 1 species